rnacentral:rRNA from 1 species
UACGUAGGGGGCGAGCGUUAUCCGGAUUUACUGGGUGUAAAGGGAGCGUAGACGGUUUUUCAAGUCUGAAGUGAAAGCCCGCGGCUCAACUGCGGAACGGCUUUGGAAACUGGGGAUCUAGAGUGUGCGAGAGGUAUGCGGAAUGCGUGGUGUAGCGGUGAAAUGCAUAGAUAUCACGCAGAACCCCGAUUGCGAAGGCGGCCUACUGGGCUUUAACUGACGCUGAGGCACGAAAGCGUGGGGAGCAAACAGG